CGGUCGGCGGGGGUUUGCCGCGUGGUGUUUUAUCGAAAUGAAAUACAACCGCCGUGCGCGAAACCCGUUCGAUGAUAUUACCGAACGUUGUUGUACAUUACGCGUUAGAUUUAUUUUCGGACUUUUAAUACGGGGUGGGGGGGAAAAAAAACAGAAAAGUUUUAACCGUUCUGCGUCGUACACGUCGGUUUAUUAAUUGCACGUUUUGCGAAAGUUUUACGUGGAUAUUAUAAUAAUAUAUGUAUAUACGUAU